rnacentral:rRNA from 1 species
CCCUACGGGGGGCAGCAGCCGCGGUAAUACGGAGGGUGCGAGCGUUAAUCGGAAUUACUGGGCGUAAAGCGCACGUAGGCUGUUGUGUAAGUCAGGGGUGAACUCCCACGGCUCAACCGUGGAACUGCCCUUGAUACUGCAUGACUGGAAUCCGGGAGAGGGUGGCGGAAUUCCAGGUGUAGGAGUGAAAUCCGUAGAUAUCUGGAGGAACAUCAGUGGCGAAGGCGGCCAUCUGGACCGGUAUUGACGCUGAGGUGCGAAAGCGUGGGGAGCAAACAGGAUUAGAAACCCCUGUAGUCCCUAAA